rnacentral:misc_RNA from 1 species
AACAUCGCGCACCUGCGGGAACCUGCGGAGGGAUCAUUACCGAGUUUACAACUCCCAAACCCCUGUGAACAUACCAAUUGUUGCCUCGGCGGAUCAGCCCGCUCCCGGUAAAACGGGACGGCCCGCCAGAGGACCCCUAAACUCUGUUUCUAUAUGUAACUUCUGAGUAAAACCAUAAAUAAAUCAAAACUUUUAACAACGGAUCU